UGGGAGGCAGCCAAUCAGGGCCCAGUGGGCUUGUAUAAGAAAAGCUGCAAGGCCAGAACAUGUGAAGUUUCUUGCCAGAGCUAGAGGAGAGUAGAUACCAUGGGCUGGGACUCCACCAGGACAAGGCCUUGAGAUGGUGUCUGACUUGGCCGGAGGGUUGAGUCACCAAAGACCUACCACAAAGUGUGUGAGAGAAUGCAGGUGCACACACUCAGCCAGAGGGUGCUUUUGAGAGGGACUGACGAGCAUGUAGCCAGCCCAGGAUUAGGGGAGCACAACAGUAGCUGACAGCCACCUUUGCUACCUGCACUUCAACAGAGGAUCUUAGCCUGUCUAUUUUGCUAUGGAAAAAAGACAGGUGCCACAGGACUCUUUGCUGCAACAACAGUAAUGUCUACCAUAGCCCAGAGACACCAUUUCUCAGCAUAGACCUCUACAGGAUUCGACCCAGGAAGCCUGGAGAGGAAGACACAGUCUCUAGCACCAGUGAGGAGUCACCUCGGGUGGAAACACCAGCUGUCACAAAAAAGAGCCCAGGACGCAACCUAUGCAAGGAUAGCGGAGAACCACGCCAAACAGCAGUCACCAGCGAGGAGGCUUGAGCCACACCUUGUGGGAGGAGCUAUGCUUAGCUGAUAUUUUUAAUAUAUGUAUGAAUACUUGAGAGGGAUUAUUUUAUGCCCUCAUUUUACCAGUGCUGCAGAGACUCAGUCAAAGGGAAAUCCUUAUCUGGACUCUCACAUGAGGCCUUUUAAUGAACUUGAGCCUGGGCCAUCUGCUAGCCAUACUGAUAAAUGGGAGAACUACUACUUUCAUGUUACUAGUCACAUAACGGUUGACAUGCAAUUUAUGUUUUACGCACAGUAAACACCUCAGAGCUCUUUUGUUUAUUCCAGUGUACAUAGGAGCUGUCUUUGCCACAGCUGCUGCAUUCUCACUAUGUUCAAUUUUAAACAAAAUAACUUUGGAAAAAACAAUUAUAUAAAGUGUUUACACGCCAAAUGCCUAAGCUGCGGUGACAACAUUGUUGGAUUUAAAAACUAAGUAAUGUGGUGUAUACCGGAAUAAAUCAUAUGAAACAA